rnacentral:rRNA from 1 species
ACCGUACUCCUACGGGAGGCAGCAGUGGGGAAUAUUGGACAAUGGGCGAAAGCCUGAUCCAGCCAUGCCGCGUGUGUGAAGAAGGUCUUCGGAUUGUAAAGCACUUUAAGUUGGGAGGAAGGGCAUUAACCUAAUACGUUAGUGUCUUGACGUUACCGAAAGAAUAAGCACCGGCUAACUCUGUGCCAGCAGCCGCGGUAAUACAGAGGGUGCAGGCGUUAAUCGGAAUUACUGGGCGUAAAGCGCGCGUAGGUGGUUUGUGAAGUUGAAUGUGAAAUCCCCGGGCUCAACCUGGGAACUGCAUCCACAACUGGCAAGCUAGAGUAUGGUAGAGGGUAGUGGAAUUUCCUGCGUAGCGGUGAAAUGCGUAGAUAUAGGAAGGAACACCAGUGGCGAAGGCGACUACCUGGACUGAUACUGCCGCUGAGGUGCGAAAGCGUGGGGAGCAAACAGGAUUAGAAACCCCAGUAGUCCUUGAC